rnacentral:rRNA from 1 species
UGCUGGGGGAUUAGUGGCGAACGGGUGAGUAACACGUGAGUAACCUGCCCUUGACUCUGGGAUAAGCCUGGGAAACUGGGUCUAAUACCGGAUACGACCAUCUGGCGCAUGUCAUGGUGGUGGAAAGCUUUUGUGGUUUUGGAUGGACUCGCGGCCUAUCAGCUUGUUGGUGGGGUAAUGGCCUACCAAGGCGACGACGGGUAGCCGGCCUGAGAGGGUGACCGGCCACACUGGGACUGAGACACGGCCCAGACUCCUACGGGAGGCAGCAGUGGGGAAUAUUGCACAAUGGGCGCAAGCCUGAUGCAGCGACGCCGCGUGAGGGAUGACGGCCUUCGGGUUGUAAACCUCUUUCAGUAGGGAAGAAGCGAAAGUGACGGUACCUGCAGAAGAAGCGCCGGCUAACUACGUGCCAGCAGCCGCGGUAAUACGUAGGGCGCAAGCGUUAUCCGGAAUUAUUGGGCGUAAAGAGCUCGUAGGCGGUUUGUCGCGUCUGCUGUGAAAGACCGGGGCUCAACUCCGGUUCUGCAGUGGGUACGGGCAGACUAGAGUGCAGUAGGGGAGACUGGAAUUCCUGGUGUAGCGGUGAAAUGCGCAGAUAUCAGGAGGAACACCGAUGGCGAAGGCAGGUCUCUGGGCUGUAACUGACGCUGAGGAGCGAAAGCAUGGGGAGCGAACAGGAUUAGAUACCCUGGUAGUCCAUGCCGUAAACGUUGGGCACUAGGUGUGGGGGACAUUCCACGUUUUCCGCGCCGUAGCUAACGCAUUAAGUGCCCCGCCUGG